GACAGAGGAGGCGAGCGUUGUCCGGAUUCACUGGGUGUAAAGGGUGCGCAGGCGGGCUCUUAAGUCAAAGGUGAAAGCUCUCGGCUUAACCGAGAAAUUGCCUUUGAUACUGAGAGUCUUGAGUACGGGAGAGGGAGAUGGAAUUCCAGGUGUAGCGGUGAAAUGCGUAGAUAUCUGGAGGAACACCAGAGGCGAAGGCGGUCUCCUGGCCCGUUACUGACGCUCAGGCACGAAAGCGUGGGGAGCAAACAGG
rnacentral:rRNA from 1 species